CGGCCUUCUGUCAGCACAGCAGCGCGAGGAGCCGCCAUUUUACUGCUGCUUUUCCUCCCCGUCGCCACGCUCUCGUUGCCCAACCAUUUCAAACGACGUGCGUUAGAGAACGCUACGUAUCGACCGUACUUUAACGCGAACAAAGGCAGCGCGAGAAUGCCUUCGAGCACUUUAUCCGCAUUUGGUCUUCAAACGCGUCACCGUGCUUGCGCCCGUCGUUUUGUGGACGUGUUCGAGGCAGGGUCGCGGUGGUCCGGAGCCCAUCCCCGAAGCACAGGAUGCUGAGUUAGGCACGGCAAACCCUGAACUGGAUGCCAGUCCACUGCAGGAGUUUCUUAGAAUGCAGCCAUUGAAAGAAGGCAUUUUCAUCUGCUGGAGUGAAAGAAAGCUGCUGACAUUCUAUGAAGGGUACACAGGCGUUCAAUCACAAACCCACCCUUGGAAACACCUUCAACUCCAGCUGAGAUCAGUUUGCCAUCUCCUUCCCUGACCACCCUGAAGAA